rnacentral:rRNA from 1 species
GACGAACGCUGGCGGCGUGCUUAACGCAUGCAAGUCGAACGCUGAAGCUCAGCUUGCUGGGUGGAUGAGUGGCGAACGGGUGAGUAACACGUGAGUAACCUGCCCUCUUCUUUGGGAUAACGCCCGGAAACGGGUGCUAAUACUGGAUAUUCACUGAUUCUCGCAUGGGGGUUGGUGGAAAGGUUUUUUCUGGUGGGGGAUGGGCUCGCGGCCUAUCAGCUUGUUGGUGGGGUGAUGGCCUACCAAGGCUUUGACGGGUAGCCGGCCUGAGAGGGUGACCGGUCACAUUGGGACUGAGAUACGGCCCAGACUCCUACGGGAGGCAGCAGUGGGGAAUAUUGCACAAUGGGCGAAAGCCUGAUGCAGCGACGCCGCGUGAGGGAUGGAGGCCUUCGGGUUGUAAACCUCUUUCGCUCAUGGUCAAGCCGCAGCUUUGGGUUGUGGUGAGGGUAGUGGGUAAAGAAGCGCCGGCUAACUACGUG